CUAUAAAGAAGUUAAUUAAAUAUUUCCACAAGGAAGAAACAGUUGAUAUGUUUGUUACCAGUUAAAUAAAAAGAAUGUGUAAUUAAAUAUUUUACAAUAGGCAUGUAAAUUCCAAGAGUGAAUUAUGAAGCUUUGGAGCCAAACAAGCCCCCCCCUACAUAGAACAAUUUAUGAUGAAAACAUAAAAGAGAAAUUGGGGUAUGUAACAAUGCUAAAAGUUCCACGCACAUAUUGGUGGUGAGUGUACUAGGAACAGGACACUUAUUUUCAACAAAAAGUGUAUAUAUACAUCAGCUUGUUUGGUCUUCCUCAGAGAAAUUUGUAUCACAUCACACAAGCAGAAGCCUUCAACUUUCACUGCCUGGGAUGCUCACACUAACGAGAAGGAUUGAAGAAGCAACCGAUCGACAACAGUGUUCUAUCCCUACUACA
rnacentral:lncRNA from 1 species